UAAAAAACUCCCAAGGAUUCAUCUAAGUUAGAUAUAAGAAGAAAAUGUUAGCAUUUCUAAAAUAAGAACAGAAACAAGAUAACACAAAUAAAUAACAAGAAUCUAGGCUCUUGGCCUAAAAUGCUCCUCACUUACUGUUACGGUAUAAAUUGGACCUUUUUAAGUCCAAAAGUUCCCAAUUUUAGUCCUUUUGGGACUGCUUCUACUGCUGCAAUAAUCAAAUUGGAUUCUUAAAUCCAAAAUUCAAUUUUCGGCCAUUUGGAAUUGUUGUUACUCCGCUACUUAGCUGCUGCCACUGAUUUGGGUUUUAACCCAUUAAUAUUAGCUUCCCCUUUAUAACUUUGGCGGAGGUCGACUCAAAGAAAGGAAGAUGCAAGAGAGGGGAGUCCAAUUGGACUCAUUCGGAGGGAGUUCCUGCAAAGUAGAGAAAAGGAAGAAGAAUUAGCACAUGUAGCGAGAAAAUGACACUUCAGUUUUAAACAUUCAAACACAAGGAUGAAAUUAACCAAAUAAAACUAUCGUGAACAAAGGGGGAAAAGAAACAGAUCCGAAGCUAUUGCUAAGUUCAUAAAUCCACAAAAUGAUUAAUUAGUCACUGGACCUUUUGAUCUAUACAACCAGCAAAAGGCAUACUUACAAUGGCCAAAAUUGUACUAAACAUGCAAACGUAAUCAGCCAUCAGUUAAAUAAAAGAAAAGAUAGUAGCGUUCCGAUUUUAGCUUAGACUUCAUAUAUCAUUGACUAGUGACUUCUUUCACCAAAAACAAGCUCAACGUACAUAUCUAUAACAAAACUACAAAAGCAGACCCCAAAAGCAGAGCCUUCAGGCAACAACUUCUUUUGAAAUCGAAAAACAAAACACCACUUUAUAUAAUUAAGACGAUAAAAAAAAGAAUUCCAGAUUUGAACCAAUGAAAAUCGAACAUAGUCUAACAGAAGGAGUACAACUAUAUUCAGAAAAAUGAGAACUGGACAGAUUUUAAAACAAAGAAAACUAAUUAAAUAUCUCAAACUCAAACCAAUCUUUAAAGCAGGGGAUUUAAAAAAGAUUGCUAAAGCAAAAGACUACUACAAGAAGCUUUACCAGGAGACAAGCAGAGAACAUUCAAUACUAAAUAACACGUCUCAAAUAAUCAGUUUAAGGCACAAAAUAGAAAGAAAUUGCUAAAUGAGCUCACAUUUAAAAAUCAAAACGACACCAACAUCUAUUUUGAGAAACAAAGAAACCUUGAAAUAAUCCGCAUGAUACAGAGGAAUUAAAAGGAGACUUAACCAUCCAAACUAAAAAAUAAAUAAAAAAUGUCUAGCAUAAGACAAACAAG
rnacentral:lncRNA from 1 species